ACCUACGGGGCGCAGCAGUAGGGAAUCUUCCACAAUGGGCGAAAGCCUGAUGGAGCAACGCCGCGUGGGUGAAGAAGGUCUUCGGAUCGUAAAACCCUGUCGUUAGAGAAGAAAGUGCGUGAGAGUAACUGUUCACGUUUCGACGGUAUCUAACCAGAAAGCCACGGCUAACUACGUGCCAGCAGCCGCGGUAAUACGUAGGUGGCAAGCGUUAUCCGGAUUUAUUGGGCGUAAAGGGAACGCAGGCGGUCUUUUAAGUCUGAUGUGAAAGCCUUCGGCUUAACCGGAGUAGGGCAUUGGAAACU
rnacentral:rRNA from 1 species